GCCAUUCUCUAAUCUUGAGUACCCAGGGACACGAUACACUGCGGAAGGCUGCAGGGACCUCUGCCCAGGAAAGCCAGGAGCCAGAAAAACUUCAUCUCUUUUACAAGAAACAUUGAGAUUCCUGUAAAAUUAAGAAAUCACACAAUUUGAUGGUCUACAUUAUCUAAAGCAAAUGAGACUUCUAUUUGGAACAAAGACUACCUUGUUGGGAAAUGAGUCUGCAAGUUAAAGUGUUUUCUGGGAUCACUCUAAGCUCCAGUGUCAAGGAGUCAAGUCCUUCAGGAAUUCUCUGCCUCCACUCCCUGUGGCAGAGCUAGAGUGGCUGCCAUGCUUCUGAGCUCAGCCAGCAUCCAGAGAGAGAGUGAGAUACAGCCUCCUCUUCUUGAAGCACCCACUUCUAAACUCUGUGACAGUUUUCUUGGAACUCUGUUAUGUGGAUCUGGAGAUGACAAUGUCACAGCACUCCCCUCUAAGCCUAAAUUCCCCCACACCGAUGAACUAUUAGGAUCCAGUAUCUGCCGGAGGAGCCCCACCUUCUGCUACUAUUAUGUUCUUCAGAUGAGUAGAAGAGAGUGGGGAGGGAGAGAGCAGGAAGAAGAAAGGAAGAAUAAUGUCUUGAAAUUGAGCUCAGAUGGAAAAGAAUGGUGUUACUGAGACCCUUCAAGAUUCCCAGUGUAAUUCAAUAAAGAAAAGGCAACACAAAGGGGUUGUAUAGAAUUCGCCACAUUAUGGACCCAUGUCAUAGAGAGAAUCCACGGUGCAUUUGUUAGCUGCAUUUAAAUUACAACACUUUCAGAUCCAAGAUUUAUUUGGGAUAAAAAUUUACCUGGAUGCAAGGCUAUUCAGAAUGAAGAUUAAUGAUAUGGUUUGGCUGUGUCCCCACCCAAACUUCAUCUUGAAUUCCCACGUGUUGUGAGAGGGACCUGGUGGGAGAUAAUUGAACCAUGGGGGCAGGUCUUUCUCAUGCUGUUCUCAUGAGAGUGAAUAAGUCUCAUGAAACCUGAUGGUUUUAUAAGGGGGAAUUUCCCUGCACAAGCUCUCUCUCUGCCUUUUGCCAUCCAUGUAAGACGUGACUUGGUCCUCCUUGCCUUCUACCAUGAUUAUGAGGCCUCCCCAGCCACGUGGAACUGUGAGUCCAUUAAACCUCUUUCUUUUGUAAA
rnacentral:sRNA from 1 species